rnacentral:rRNA from 1 species
GACAGCAGUCGCCACGGUAAUACAGAGGGUGCGAGCGUUAAUCGGAUUUACUGGGCGUAAAGCGUGCGUAGGCGGCUUCUUAAGUCGGAUGUGAAAUCCCUGAGCUUAACUUAGGAAUUGCAUUCGAUACUGGGAAGCUAGAGUAUGGGAGAGGAUGGUAGAAUUCCAGGUGUAGCGGUGAAAUGCGUAGAGAUCUGGAGGAAUACCGAUGGCGAAGGCAGCCAUCUGGCCUAAUACUGACGCUGAGGUACGAAAGCAUGGGGAGCAAACAGGAUUAGAUACCCGUGUAGUCCCUGUCUCUUAUAC